rnacentral:rRNA from 1 species
UACAGAGGUCCCAAGCGUUGUUCGGAUUCACUGGGCGUAAAGGGUGCGUAGGUGGUUGGGUAAGUUUGAUGAUGAAAGCUCCGAGCUUAACUCGGAAAUUGCAUUGAAUACUAUCUGGCUAGAGGGUGGAGGGGGGACUGGAAUUCUCGGUGUAGCAGUGAAAUGCGUAGAUAUCGUAAGGAAGACCAGUGGCGAAGGCGAGUCUCUGGACAGUUAC